UUUUACACGGCUAAAUUCAAAUUUCAAAAAAUAAACCCAAUAAUUAAACCAAAAAAUUAAAUAAUAUUUACGAUUAACUUACAUAUCUCUCUAACAAACUACAAUUUUUUAAAUUUUUUAUUUAUUUAAUAUUCUAUUAUAUAACAAACUACAAUUAAUUAAUUUAUACGUACCAAUUAUUCAAACUUUACGGCCCAUUACAAAGUUACAAAGGUCGGUAUCAAAAUAUUGAAUUAGUCAACUUGAGUUUUGUCUCAUUGUUAAUUAUCUUAGUUAAGCAAAAGAAAGAGUCUCAUUCUCAUUAAUGGUUUAUUUUUGGUUCGGUUAUAUUCAAAAUUACGUACCGUAAGUUAUUUCGCAAGCAAUCACAAAAAGUAUCUCCUCAUAAUUGUAUCAGAUAUACAGUCAAAAUCCUGGUAAGUCGAUCAUCAUCAAUUCAAUCAAAAUAUAUAAUUUACAUACCAAUACAAAAUUUGACAUUUAAUUUAGCUAUAUAUAUUGAUUUCAUAUUGCGAUACCAAUAUUCUGAUUCUUCUUUCUUCUCUCUCUGAAUCUCUCAUAUAUAUCGAUCUGAGGCAGCCAUUUCUUAAAUUUCUAUUAAAUAUACAUAUGUAUAUGUUUAUUUAUGUAACUAUUUGAUUCGACCAAUGCUAGCUCCUUUUUAUUUCUUGUCUUCUUCUAUGUAUCAUAUAUUUUAAUUGACUUCUCAGAUGAUAAUGAUUUUCACACUAAUAAUAAUAUUGUCAUAUUCAACCUGGAAUCGCCAAGUUUACAUACAGAGGGUUGUAGAGCGUUUAAAAUGGUUUUCAAAAAUAUCAUUAAUAAAUCUAUUCAAGACGAUGGUUUGGUAAGCUAUAUUUUAUAAUUUUUAUUUUCUUUCUUUUCUAAUAUGAGAAUAAUGAUGUAAGAUGGGUGUGCAUAGCAUGACCUGGUUCUAUCAGGGAAGAAGUUAUUGUCACAAACAAAACUGGCUGAAGAAGACGCUGAGAGGAAUGUGAAGAAGAACAUCAGGAGGGAAAAACACUUGAUGAGAGAAAAGGGACAUGUGAUACCAGCAAAUUAUUUGGAUGCACUUGAAAAGUUUUAAUUGGUGUUACAAAAGGAGGUAGUGGUUUCUUACUAUAUAUAUAGAUAUAUGCAGUAGUUCUCACUGUAAAGAUUUAUUACGUUGUUUCUCUUACUAUUUAUGUAUUGUAUUGGUGGUGUUUUAGCGUCAUGCUGUUUAACUCAUGCUUUUAAGUUUUA